UGUUUGUUUGUGGAUAAAGUAAAACGUUUUCUUUCAAUGGCCCAGCAUUUACUAAAAUUUAUUUCAAGUUCUUCCACGUAAAGUCUACACUACAUACACUCAUACAGGCAGUGUAACGCUGAUUCGUAGAGCUGGAGAGUAUCACAACAAUAAAUUUCUCUUCCGAAAGAAAACAGCCUAAUAUUAGGGAGAUAUUUACAUACUCUAUAAGAUGUUCUUUAAUCUCUUAUAUAUAUUACAUAUGAAAGAAUUAAUUGUUUAAUUAUUAUCCAAAGCGACGUGAAACCACUCUCAUUUAUUAGCCCUAGCUAUAUCUCACAACCUCCAUCUUCCUUACUUUAAAAACACAGACCAGAUCCUAUUUAUAGCAUCCAUGUGCGCCAUUGAAAGGUAAAUUUAUUUAAUAAAGUUUACCUAUAAUAUCAAAUUAUGCAAAACACAGGCUGGUUCAGUUUUUUCCACGAAUCAAAAAUGGUUGGAGAAAUAUUGAAUAAGAGAGAGAGAGAGAGAGAGAGAGAUAGAGUUUCAGAGUUGACACAACAUUGAAGUAAACUAAACUCCUAACCUCUUUAUCUAUGUGUAUAUAUAAAACUCAAAAGUACAUAUAAUCUUCACCAUUCACACAUAGUCACAUACCAAAGCAAAAACAUGGAUCGUUGCACGUCGUCGUUUUUGCUUCUCACAUUGGUCUCUACCUUGUCCAUUCUCCAAAUCUCCUUUGCUCAACUUGUUCCAGCAAUCAUGACAUUCGGUGACUCUGUAGUUGAUGUCGGCAACAACAACUAUCUUCCGACCCUUUUCAGAGCUGAUUAUCCUCCUUAUGGCCGUGAUUUCGCUAACCACAAAGCCACCGGUCGUUUCUGCAACGGCAAAUUAGCCACUGAUAUAACUGGUAAAAGGUUUUACUUGUUACUCAAGUUAUAUUUUUAAGUUUGUUUGACACUGAAGUCUUUGUGUUUGUUUUUGUUACAGCUGAGACUUUAGGCUUCACUAAGUACCCACCAGCUUAUCUAAGUCCUGAAGCUUCUGGUAAGAAUCUUCUCAUUGGUGCUAAUUUCGCUUCUGCAGCUUCAGGUUAUGAUGACAAAGCUGCUCUUCUCAAUGUAAGUAGUGACGGUUCUUUGUUCUGAUACAUUUCUUCUUUGAUCUGUUUCUUUUUUUUGUUUUGGUUCUGAUCUUAGUUCUUUUUUUGGCAGCACGCGAUCCCGUUGUAUCAGCAAGUAGAGUAUUUCAAGGAAUACAAGAGCAAGCUAAUAAAAAUUGCAGGAAGCAAAAAAGCUGAUUCGAUCAUAAAGGGAGCAAUCUGUCUCUUAAGUGCAGGAAGCAGUGAUUUUGUUCAAAACUACUAUGUGAAUCCUCUGCUUUACAAAGUUUACACUGUUGAUGCAUACGGAUCUUUCCUUAUCGAUAACUUCUCUACAUUUAUCAAGGUAAAGAAUUUUCCUUGGUUAUCCUCUGUUCUGAAUAGAGAAAAAGAAAGAUGAGACAUUUUGAGUUUUUGAUUGACUGUUGCAGCAAGUGUAUGCGGUUGGAGCAAGGAAGAUCGGUGUGACAUCUCUGCCUCCAACAGGAUGUCUUCCCGCUGCAAGAACCCUUUUCGGUUUCCAUGAAAAAGGCUGUGUUUCAAGACUCAACACAGAUGCUCAAAACUUUAACAAGAAGCUUAACGCUGCUGCUUCAAAGCUUCAGAAGCAAUAUUCCGAUCUUAAGAUUGUUGUCUUCGACAUCUACUCUCCACUUUAUGAUCUUGUUCAGAACCCUUCCAAAUCCGGUAAGUCCUCAAAAUGGACUGAUAUAUAUAGUUUGUUAUAACAUUUAUUGGUGCUGAUCUGCUUUAGAUAAUCCAUGACACAUUCAUCUUUUUGUCUAUAACAGGAUUCACGGAAGCAACCAAAGGAUGUUGUGGAACAGGAACAGUCGAGACAACUUCACUCUUGUGCAACCCGAAAUCGUUUGGGACAUGCUCCAAUGCUACUCAGUAUGUGUUCUGGGACAGUGUGCAUCCUUCUGAAGCUGCCAAUGAGAUUCUUGCCACUGCCCUAAUUGGACAGGGCUUUUCUCUCCUCGGUUGAUCUCACGUAUUUUUCUUAUAUUCUCUUUUCAAAUCGCUGUUUCUAUCACACAUUGAGUCAUACAUUUGUUUUUCUUUGAAUUAUGUAUCAAAGCAUCACUGUUUUACUAAAAAUGUAUUGAAACUUAUUACAAGUACUAAACCAAGAGUUGAGAACACUUAGUACCAGAAACUAUAUACAACCAUCUCCCUGUGUGAUCAAAAGAUCUACAUAUACCAUUGCUAUGAGGAAAACCUAAUGAAGUGUUAAAAUGAACAGCGUAGAAUUCUAAGCAGUGAGAAAUCUCCAGCCAGAGCAGCAGGGCCAAAGUUUAAGAAGCUUCAAUCAUUGCAAUUGUUUUCCUGAUUCCUCUACCUUCACUUCUGGUGACAACUUUCCUGACAAAGUCAAUCUUCGUUCUUCUUUACGGUUCUCCUCAGAUGUUGUUGCUUUGGAGCAUGUUGCAGCCUCUAAAUUUCUGUUAACCUCACCCUUAAAAACCAGUGUCUGUUUAGCACCCCUCUUGGCAACGGGAUAAGCCUGCAAAAAUAUAUCAACUUAGAGAUGAAAACUCUCAACUGAUGAAACAUUUCGAACUAAUUCAACAUAAAAACCAUGGAGAUAAUGAAAGAUUCAACAUUAUGUAAUUGUCAAUGAAGGCAUAUACCGGAUGUUUGUAGACCAGAUGCAUUGAUCUUCUCUCCUUGAGAGGCACUUUCCCAGCUGGAACCUGAGUUAUAAUAAUAGGAAGUAUGAGUGACAUUUAAUGCAAAAGACAGGUUUUGGAUAUUUUUGAAGAUACAGAGAAAUGCUUACGUAGGUGGUGAUGUUUUGGUGACCGGACAUUUGUGGCACCUGAUUGCCCAUAUAGUAAUAAGAUGUCCCGACCUGGAAUGGCUGAAAGCAACCAUAUGAGCUGGACACAUAUGAGAGGACUGGCUGAGCUGGUGAAGGGGCAGAAGGAGCUUGCGUGUACUGGCGUGGCUGUGCCUGAAAAUAUUGCUGCAACCUCUUGAUUCGAUCCUCUUUGCGCUCUGCAACUCGAACAACUAUUGGCUUUCCAUCAACUAAGAACCCUGUAAGCAACAAUAAGUAAUAGUAGUCAAGAUUUAAUCAGUAUAUAUCAGACUGGUCUGGAGAACAGAUAAUUAAGGGUAAGCUACUAUAGCUAUAGUAUAUACCAUUGAGAUAUCUUUUAGCCUGUUUGGACUCUUCACAGUUAGAGAAGCACACAAAGCCGAAUCCUUUACUUCUGCCAUUCUCAUGACACAUCACUUUAGCUGAAACUAUUUGCCCAUAGCAUCCAAAGAUUUCUCGCAGUCUUGUUUCAUUCAUUGAUUCACUCAAGUUCUUCACGUACAGAUUGGACCAUCUCAUGUUAGGCUUUGCAAUAAAGUUGUCACUGAAUUUCUGUUUCAGCAUCUCCCUCCUUUCAUCUUUCUUGAGUGCCUUACCAACAAACAAUUUCUUCGAUCCUGCAGAUUGUCAAAGGAAUGUUUUUAAAUCAGGAACUAUGGUCUAAUGACAAGAUACUAAAUAAUAGGUUCAGACAAAGAAGUUGAAUUACCAAGUUGUAGUCCACAGAGAGAUUCCAUAGCUUUCUUAGCAUUUUCUGGAUUGCAGAAGUUAACAAAUCCGAAACCUCUAGAUCUUCCCAUACCAUCCCUCAUAACCACAACACUAGAGACAGUUCCAUAUUGAGAAAACAGUGUAUGUAGACAAUCAUCUGUAACAGUUUCGAUCAGAUUCUUCACAUAAACGUUUGUAGAGUCUUGAUUUCCUGCCAUAGCUGCUCUUUCAUCCUUGUUGAUGAACUUGGCAACAAACCUAAAGUCAAAAAUAGACCAAGUAAAUAAACAACCAUUUCAUCAUCAUUACCUUCGGUUACUAAGAAUCAUACAAGCUUACAGUUUCUUGCCAUAAACCAUAGAGCCGUGGAGAGCAGAACGAGCAGAUACAGCAGAUUGCUCUGUAUCAAACUGAACAAAGCCAAAACCUUUACUUUGGCCAUUCUCUUCAACGACUUUGCAAGAAAGUAUGGAACCAAAGGGGCAAAACAUUCGCUCUAAGCAACUGCUAGUAAUCGAGCUAUCCAGAUUCUUUACGUAUAGAUUUGCAAAACCAGUACGAGUACGACGACGGUACGCAAGAUCCCUCUGAGACCACAUUAUUCGCAUAGCCUUUCCCUUCAAAUCACUAUGGUUUAAGCGAGUCAUAGCAUUCGAUGCUAAUCCACAGAAUCAACAAUAAAGAAACAAAGAUCUGUCAGAAUUAGUGACCUAAAUCGGUUAAUCGCAAGACAAUCUUAGAGAAAAACAACGAAAUUUCCAGGGUUUUAACAAGAAUUGAAAGAGUCCAAAAUCAAAAACCGUAAACGUUGAAACCAAAAUCGGAGACUGGAAACGAAGAAACGAGUAAAAAAGUCGAAAGUCUUGUUUACCGCUGAAAGGUGAAUCGAAGUUGAUGUAAGCGUAACACAUGGAUUUUCCGGUGACAGAGUUACGGCAAAGAUGAACGGACACUACCGGAACAUUCAAAGAGAACUUAUCAAUGAGAUCUUUCUCCGUCACGUCUGGGCUAAGAUCACCGACGUAAAGCGAACCAAACCUUGAAGAAUGCUGGUGGUUUCCUAACGCCUGCGUUUCCGUUUUCACGAGCGCCAUUGUUGUUCUCUCACAAAUCCUUAUCUCUCUCUCGUUCUGUAGAAAUGUAGAAUCAAUGAGAAAGAACAAUUUCUUUUUCCGAAAAACUCUGCAGAGAAAAAAGAGUAAAUGGAGAAGACGAGAGAAAGCAGAGAGGUCUUAUUUUGUCUUGGAGUGUGUAUAUAUAGAUGUAUGUAUCGUUCUGUUAUAACCGUAAUCAUAGCGCGCACAGAGACGGCGGUACGAUAUUUCGUACGGAACUCCACGCGCCGCGAGUAUGGCUUAGUGGUUAAACUCGCGUUAAUUUGCUCAUACCCGAAAUUUUAAAUUUAUCCAAAUAUGGAAGUGAGCCCAUUCCAAAUAAUUUUGGGCUUAUUUGAGUUUUAGAUUAAUAAGGCUAGUAUUCUAUUUUUGGGUUUGUUUAGUAUGUAGUUUUUAUAAGGCCCAUCAUGUAAUUGCAUAGGUUAUGCUGUAUUUUGAUUUUGCAUUUACCAUGUCAAUGCCAACUCACACACUAUUGAUUUGUUUAAUAUAUUUUCCCAUUGUGUAUUCUAGAAAUUAUAUUUUAAUCUAAUUUGUUCAUAUGAUGUAUGAGAAUCUUAAAGUAGCAUAUUCUUUUGACAAAUAACAAAGUAGUAUAUUUUAAAUGAAUUUCUCUUGUUUACUUGCCAUUAUAGUCAUUUAUUUAAAUUAUGUUCAAAAUCAGAUUACCUUACCUACUAAUUCACCCUAACGAAAUUUUCAUGUCUUUAAUUUGAAACAAUCGAAGAUUUGACAACUUAUUUUACAAUUUUUCUAUAAUAAUAAUCUUUUCGACGAGUUAAAAAAGAAAAGUUAUAUUUUAUUUUCCUGCUCAAAAUUAUUGUAUUCUUGUCCGGAAAACUUAACUGUCAACCAAAUAUUUAUAAAUUGUAUUCUGUAAAAAAAAUUCUAAAGGGUAAGAAUUCCCCUUGUUUACGUUUCCUUUGUUUACGUCCCACUAUAUUCAUUUAUUUAAUUUGUUUUUGGUCGACAGCUUAUGUUACUGGAUAGGUUCAAAUGAAUUAAACCGAAUAAACGUUGUUUCUAUAUGAAAUAGAAUGUGCGUGAACACGUUCCAUCAGCUUUAGAAUUAGUUAGUAUAGUUAAAUAUACAUGAUCUUACUUCAAUCAAUUAAUCAACCACACAUGAUACAACUAUUAAUUCUUAAAGUGGUUUCCCUUUUGAGAAUUGAGGGCAACACUACCAAUCCAUUAAGCCAAAAAUGCAAGGGGAGAUUAUACUUAUUUGAAGAACGUGGCCAAGAUACAGAUCUUUAUUACGUAUAGUGAGAAUCUUUCUUCUCAUAAAAGAAAUAAGAAAGAGAAGAAAAAAACGAGUUGCCAUAUCAUGUAAACUAAAAGUCUUCCCUAUCGACCAUCAUCCAUAUCUUCCCCAGGUCAAUAAAUACCAUGAAAUUUCCCUAACAUAGAUCACUGCACCAAUUAACCAUUACUUACUUCUCAGGUAAUCUCUCUACCUUUUCUCAUAUGAUUAUAGUUAGUAUAGUAUUUGGUUACAUUAUAUAUGAUAAUCUUUUUGAAACUAUUUGGUUACGUUUCUAAUCGCAGGUAAUAAAUCGUAAGAUUUAUCAAACGCAAGCAAAAGAGAUGGCCCAAAAGCUAGUUGCACAGGGUGGUGAGACGGGAGAUGUAUGGGAUGAUGGUGUUUACGACAAUGUUACAAAGGUAUAUGUAGGGCAAGGCCAGUAUGGUAUAGCCUUCGUCAAGUUUGAGUAUGCCAAUGGUUCUGAAGUGGUUGUUGGAGAUGAACAUGGAGAGAAGACUGAGCUAGGAGUUGAAGAGGUACUAAAAAAGAUUGCUAUGUUGUGAUUGGUCAAGAGUGUCUCUUUUCUUUGUUGCUUAGCUUUCCGCAUUGAAAAUUAUAUGGUUUCUUUGUAGUUUGAGAUUGAUUCGGAUGACUACAUCGUCUACGUGGAAGGUUACCGUGAGAAAGUUAGCGAUAUGACCUCAGAAAUGAUCACGUUUCUUUCAUUCAAGACUUCUAAAGGCAAAACCUCUCAGCCUAUCGUUAAAAAACCUGGGGUUAAGUUUGUGCUACAUGGUGGAAAAAUCGUUGGGUUUCAUGGACGUUCGACCGACGUUCUACAUUCCCUAGGGGCCUAUGUUUCUUUGCCGUCCACUCCCAAAUUGCUUGGAAACUGGAUUAAGGUAGUAAUCACUUAGACCAACAUACAAAGAUCUCCCACAACUAUGUAUAUUGAAGGUUUUGUUUGUUAGCACCAAAAAUACUAAACCACGGACGCGAAAGAAAAAAAAAGAGAGGGAAAAAUUGGAAUUUAGAUAAUUAAUGACAGUUUUGCAAUUUAUAAUUUGAUUAAUUUUAUUUUACAAUUAUGGAAAUUUACUAAUCAGAAUAUAAAUCCUUUUAAAAAUAGCUAACAAAUAUUACUAAUUAAUUAUAAGGUGGAGCAAAAUGGAGAAGGCCCAGGGCUAAGAUGCUCACAUGGCAUAGCUCAAGUAGGCAACAAGAUUUACUCUUUUGGUGGUGAGCUCAUACCAAAUCAGCCCAUCGAUAAACACCUUUACGUCUUUGACCUCGAGACCCGGACUUGGUCCAUUGCUCCAGCCACCGGAGACGUUCCACACCUCUCUUGCUUAGGUGUCCGUAUGGUGUCAGUAGGAUCGACCCUCUAUACCUUUGGAGGCCGAGACUUUUCACGCCAAUACAACGGUUUCUACUCGUUUGACACGACAACAAACGAGUGGAAACUGCUAACUCCGGUGGAAGAAGGACCCACUCCUCGUAGUUUCCAUUCGAUGGCAGCGGAUGAGGAAAACGUUUACGUUUUCGGUGGAGUGGGUGCUAUGGAUCGAAUCAAGACACUAGACUCUUACAAUAUCGUUGACAAGACGUGGUUUCAUUGUUCGAAUCCAGGAGAUUCCUUUAGCAUAAGAGGAGGAGCAGGGCUCGAAGUGGUGCAAGGGAAAGUAUGGAUUGUGUAUGGAUUUAACGGAUGUGAAGUAGAUGAUGUUCAUUUCUACGAUCCUGCUGAAGACAAAUGGACACAAGUGGAAACAUUCGGUGUGAAGCCUAACGAAAGGAGUGUUUUCGCUAGUGCGGCUAUUGGGAAACACAUUGUGAUAUUUGGAGGUGAGAUUGCGAUGGAUCCACGAGCUCACGUAGGUCCGGGUCAAUUAAUCGAUGGGACUUUCGCGUUGGAUACAGAGACGUUGCAAUGGGAGAGGUUAGAUAAGUUUGAGGGGACUCCGAGUAGCAGAGGAUGGACCGCGUCCACGACUGGAACCAUUGAUGGUAAGAAAGGACUUGUGAUGCAUGGUGGUAAAGCUCCAACCAAUGACCGGUUUGAUGACCUCUUCUUUUACGGAAUUGACUCUGUCUGAUUAAGCGCGAUUUGAUCAUGACCGUUUGUGUUUUAUUUGUUUGUGUGUCUGUGUGUCUGUGUGAUGCAAUAAGGGAGGGAUCGUGAUACCUCUAUAUGAUCCUUCGUCAGCUUAUCCAUUUUAUUUUUUAUUUUCUAAAUGUAUCUUUUUGUUUUUUGUUUUCUGUUUUGUAUGUUUAAUGUUUCGUGGCUUGUUCAAUAAGAUGUUUAUUUUCCGAAUUUUUUUUGGGUAUGUUACGUUAUACUACAAACAAAAAUAUUAUGAUUUUGAUUUUCUCUAAAGAUGAAAUGAAUAGAACAAGAAGUCAGCAGAUAGGGUGGUUUCAUCUACUUUUGUGGUUGGUAAAUGUGGUUAGAAAAAUUUGCAUUGAAUUGUAAGUUUCUAUCCAUAAAAGAAACAAAAAAUUAAUGUAAUCAAGAGUGGAAAGUUACCAAUGGAUUAUAAAAAUCUUGCAAUUCUAAUAAAUCCUCAUGUCAACGGUACAGAUAAGAUAAGGGUAAGGGGCAAACAAUCUUGUUGGUUCAAAUGGCAAGUAAACAAGGGCAAUUAUAUCCACCUAAUCCAUUGCGUUUUCUUUCUCUAAUCUUAGAAUCUACUUUAAUUGUAUGUUUUUCUCUUUCAUCUACUUUCCAAAACUAUAUAACCUCAUUUCUAUACUUUUUAUGCAUUUAUUUUGAAACCCCUUUAUCAAAAAAAAAAAAGGGGCCAAUUUUUCUUCAAAAAUGGUUACUUUAAGAUUCUCAUAUACAGUGUGCCAAAAAAAAAAAAGGUACCUAAAAUAUUUAUUAUUUCAGAUAUUGGUCAACAUAUUAUCUGUAACAGAAAAAUGUUCACGUGAUAUUUGCGAAUCACAUUUUUCUAGGGGCAAAAGUGAUAUAUGAGAAUCUUAAAGUAACCUUUUCUAGAAUAAUUGCCCUUGUUUACUUGCCACUGUAGUCAUUUAUUUAAUUUAUGUUCAAAAACAGAUUACCUACCUAAUUCACCGAAACGAAAAAUUUUGUUGCCAGUUUUUGUUUUUUUUAAUUUUUUUUUUCCUCUUUUUAGUUUACCUUCUCUUUUUUCUGUUCAACAUUAAACUAGAAGGUAGAGUAAUAAAUAACGAUGGAUGGAUGUGUUGAAAACGCGCUUUAUGCAUGAUUCAUACGAGAGCAGCUGAGGAGGAGACAAAAAACGGGUCUACACUAUAUCAGACUUUUUUUUGUUUUUUUGGUGUAAAACUAUAUCAGAUGGAAAAAUAUCAACCAAAUAAUGUAGAAACUAUAUCAAACUUUUAACAAAACUAUCAACCCAAUAUUUUAUAUUUUAUUAAAAAACAAUACUAAUAAUUUUUCCUUUUCCUCGUUUUUUUUUUUCUGAUCAACCAUUCACACGUUGUUUUUCGUAAUUAUGAUUCUGCAUAAUGCUUUCUCUAAAUCAAAAACUCCACGCCACGGUUCAACUGAUGUAGUGCCUCCACCGUUGUCGUUUGACUCGUUGCAGAGGACACCAUUAUGCACUUCGAUUCAUUUUCAAAAUCGUCUUUCUCUACUGAAUUGUUACUCCAUUUAAUUUUUUGGUCCAUAGAUAACAUAGACCAUUAUACUAGUAUGUUAAAUGUAUACUUAUCAGUUACCGCACAACAUUAAUUCUUAAAGAGGGUUCAUUUUCGAGAAUUGAGUACAACACUACCAUUAGGCCAAAAUGCGAGAGGCAAAAAAAGAUAUAGCAUAUACUUAUCAUGAAUAAUGAAAAUCUUUUCCAUCCAAAUAAAAAUCUUUCUUCUCAUAAAAGAAAGAAGAGAAAAAACAAUGAGUUUGCAUAUCUUUAUCCUGUAGAAUGAUAAUCUUCCCCAUCAACUACUGUAGAUCGUCAACGUGUACUCACUUCCAUUAUCGAUCGAAUCAUCAAUUUAAUGCCUCGUGAAUCACGAGAUCAUAUAAUAUGACAAGAAAUUCGUCCCGUUUAUCUACUGCUGGUCAAUAAAUACUCAUGCAAUUCCCACCAAUAGAUCACUCAACCAAUUUCUUCUCAGGUUCUCUCUUCACACCUCUCCCCUUCUCUAUGAUUAUAGAUAGUAUAUGAUUUGGUUAAAUUAUCUAUAUUUCUUUUUUGAUAAAGGAUUUGGUUAAAUUUUUAAUUGCAGGUAAUACUCGUAAGAUUUAUCAACACAAGCAAAAAAGAUGGCCCAAAAGCUAGAAGCAAAGGGUGGUGAGAUGGGAGAUGUAUGGGAUGAUGGUGUUUACGAAAAUGUUAGAAAGGUAUAUGUAGGGCAAGCACAAUACGGUAUAGCCUUCGUCAAGUUUGAGUAUGUCAAUGGUUCUCAAGUGGUUGUUGGAGAUGAACAUGGAAAGAAGACAGAGCUAGGAGUUGAAGAGGUACUAAAAUAGAUUUUUUUUUUUUUUUUUUUUUUUUUUUUUUUUUAGUCAAAAGGUACUAAAAUAGAUUUAUAUGUUGUGAUUGAUCAAGAGGUAGGGUCUUUUUUUUUUUUGUUGCUUUCCGCAUUGAAAAUUGCUUGGUUUCUUUGCAGUUUGAGAUUGAUGCGGAUGACUACAUCGUAUACGUGGAAGGUUACCGUGAGAAAGUUAACGAUAUGACGUCAGAAAUGAUCACGUUUCUUUCUAUUAAGACUUUUAAAGGCAAAACCUCUCAUCCUAUCGAAAAAAGACCUGGGGUUAAGUUUGUGCUACAUGGUGGAAAAAUCGUUGGGUUUCACGGACGUUCAACAGAUGUUUUACACUCCCUUGGGGCCUAUGUUUCUUUGUCAUCCACUAUCAAAUUGCUUGGGAAGUGGAUUAAGGUAAUAAUCUCUUAGACCAAUCCAAAAACAAAAAUAAAAAAUUAUCUCACAUAAAUAUGUUGUUAUUGUUACCACCGCAAAAUCACUAAAUCACUUACGAGAAAGAAAAAAUGAAGAAGAAAAGAGGGUUGAAUUUGGAAUUCAGAUAAUGACACUUUUAAAAUUUAUAAUUUUAUUAAAUUUAUCUUAUGGGAGUUCAUUAAUCAGAUAAAUAAUUUCUUUAAAAAUAACUAAAAAAUAUUACUCAUAGGUGGAGCAAAAAGGAGAAGGUCCAGGGCUAAGAUGCUCACAUGGCAUAGCACAAGUAGGCAACAAGAUUUACUCCUUUGGUGGCGAGUUCACACCAAAUCAGCCCAUCGACAAACACCUUUACGUCUUUGACCUCGAGACCCGGACUUGGUCCAUUUCUCCAGCCACCGGAGACGUUCCACACCUCUCUUGUUUAGGUGUCCGGAUGGUGUCAGUAGGAUCGACCCUCUAUGUCUUUGGAGGCCGAGACGCUUCACGCCAAUACAACGGUUUCUACUCGUUUGACACGACCACUAACGAGUGGAAACUGCUAACUCCGGUCGAAGAAGGACCCACUCCUCGUAGUUUCCACUCAAUGGCAGCCGAUGAGGAAAACGUUUACGUUUUCGGUGGAGUGAGUGCUACGGCACGACUCAAUACACUAGACUCUUACAACAUCGUUGAUAAGAAGUGGUUUCAUUGUUCGACUCCAGGAGAUUCCCUUACCGCAAGAGGAGGAGCAGGGCUCGAAGUGGUGCAAGGGAAGGUAUGGGUUGUGUAUGGGUUUAACGGAUGUGAAGUAGAUGAUGUUCAUUACUACGAUCCUGUUCAAGACAAGUGGACACAAGUGGAAACAUUCGGUGUGAGGCCUUCCGAAAGAAGUGUAUUCGCUAGUGCGGCUAUUGGGAAACACAUUGUGAUUUUUGGAGGUGAAAUUGCGAUGGACCCGCUAGCUCACGUGGGUCCAGGUCAAUUGACCGAUGGAACUUUUGCAUUGGACACAGAGACGUUGCAAUGGGAGAGGCUGGAUAAGUUUGGUGGAGAGGAAGAGACUCCGAGUAGCAGAGGAUGGACCGCGUCCACGACUGCUACCAUUGAUGGUAAGAAAGGACUUGUGAUGCAUGGUGGUAAAGCUCCAACCAAUGACCGGUUUGAUGAUCUCUUCUUUUACGGGAUUGACUCUGCCUAAUUAAGGCAGAUUUGGUGAUCAUGAACGUUUGUGAAUGUGUGUGUGUGUGUGUGGGUCUGUGUUUGUGUGUGUAAUAAGGGAGGGGUAUACCACCAUAUGAUCCUUCCCCAGCUUGACCAUUGUUUUUUUUUUAAUAUGUUUUUCUUUCUACAUGUUUGUUUCACGUUUCAUGUUGUAUCCAAUAAAUUGUGUACUUUCCUAGUAGUAAUCGCCAGAAAAAAAAAAAAAAAAAAAAAACCUAGUAGGUAGAGUCAUAGCUUACAAUUAAAUAAAUAACGAUGGAUGUGUUGAAAACGCGUUUAUGCAUGAUUCAUGAAUUGUAUAUACGAGAGCAGCCGAGGAGGAGAUAAAGAGAGGGGUCUACAAUGAUCAAUACUAACUUAAUUUUGUAGUGUUGUCAGUCAAUAAUGUAUACCUAUCAAAAUGGGGCCUAUAUUCCAUCACUAGUGAGUUCGUCAGUCAAUAAUGUAUUUUCCGACACUUAAAAAACGUUCCAAAUCAUAAUACUUAUAAUUAUAACCAGAUAAGUUUUACUGAAUCCCAGACUAAUUCUCAAACUUUGCUAUCAUGUUAUUAACAAACAUUACAAUGUAGAGAAAUAUGGAUGCCCUAGUUUCAACUAACACGAUGAAUCAUGUCAAUCACUGUAUAAAUAGUUAAUAAGUUGUGACUUUUUUUUUUGUCGGCUAAUAAGUUGUGACUUUAGGCACCGUCAAUAUUCAACUGUAAUUAUAAUCGUAUAUAAUAAGUGAUUAUAUCUGUCAAAUAUCAUAUAUAACAAAUAAUAUAAUUGUAUGUAUAUAUAUUAUCUCUAUCAACUAUAAUCAUAUACAGAAAGAAAAAAAACAAGUGUUACAUCACGCUUAGCUUAAAAGUUUCGACUUUUUGCACCGUCAUAUUUCACGUGUAAGCAAGAAAUACAAAUGUAAAUAGAUUAUAAUUAAUGAAUUCUCUCGACUCUCUCAACAUAGUAUAUAAAAGGAAAUCUACACAUGAACCGUAUCUUUCUCACUUUUGAAAUAUUUUGAUGUUUUAAAGAAAUUUUUUCAAAAUUUUAUAUAAAUUAUAAAUUAAUUUAAUAUUUUUUGAUUAUUUAUAUUUUUCAUCAGUCUUGUUCAUAAUUGGUUGAAUUGUUUUAAAGUAAAUAUUUCUUUAGCUAAAACAUCUUAUACAAUUAAAAGAAAAAAGUGUAAUCAAAUAACCAAAUAUAAAUUAGUAUUUCAAAUUAUACUUAUUGCAGGGUGAUAAACCUUUUGUCCCAAGUGAAGUUAAACCUAUAAAUAUAUACCCCAUUUAGAGGGUCCUAUAUAACUAAAGUACCACAUAUUUGGUGGUUUAUAUCAUUCAAUUUUUUUGUAACUAACUUAAUAUUUGAUAUGUAAAAUCAUGUUAAAAUAGGAUCAGCAGAUAGAAUAUAUAAAAAAUAAGUCAUGUACAAACGUAACGUUCUUCAUAUCUUAGGUAACGUAUCUAACAAUUUUGUUAAAUAUUAUUAUUUUAAAAAAUUGAACAUAUUAUUUGGAAACUUUUCUUUUGAUAAUUUUGAAAUGGCACUUUGUAAUUAAGAGUUUAAUAAAGAACACGUCACACACAAAAACGAAGAAAGAGAUUAUAGAAAUUAAGUUGUGUUUUCAAUCUUCGUGUAUACAAAACAAAAAUAAAAAUUAGAAAUGAUAUUUCAUACGAUGUUGUUAAAUAAUAUAAUUAUGAAAAUUAGUUGUGCUUUAUAUUAUUAUUUUUGUUGGAAGCUCUAGAAACGAUCGACCUAAUAGUAUAUUUUUGUCACUAAAAAGUGUGAUUAAAAUAUAUAUAUAUAUAUAUAUAUAUAUAUAUAUAUAUAUAAUAUUGUAAUUUUCAACCAAUUCUCGGUUUAGGUGGUUUAUUAUUAUAUUGUUUUUUGAAAAAAUUAAAAAAUAUAUCCUUAUUAGUUCAUUCUUUUCUGGUCAUUCGUUCACACUUUACAACUUGGUUAAUGGCCACUUCUCAAGUUAUCGUUCUUUCAUUUGUUCUACAGUCGCAAGAAAUUAUCGUUCUUUCAUUUGUCAUUAUGCAUAAUGAUUUCUCUUUUCUUUUUAGUGCAUAAUGAUCUCACUACAUAAAAAAAUCUAUCUUACGAUUCAACUAUAUUUAGUCCCAUGCACUCGCUGCAUAACACAUUACUUUCUUCGAUUUAGAGUGAUUUUCACAACCUUGUUUCUGUAUUGUAUAUUUAGUUAGUGUUUGUGAUUACCAAAAAAAAAAAUUGUUUCUUCUUGGCUUAGUCUUUUUAUCUUUUUUUUUUUUUUUGCUUCAUCUAUUUUUCCUCCCAUGACAGAUGAAGACGGCAAGAGAUGCAGCAAAUCUCAUUUAUGAUCUAUCUGAAGAAUCAGCGUCAUCGAUUUGGAGACUCGAACCAUAACAAAAAGAGCAUCACAGUUUCAAUUUAAUUGCUCCUGGCGCUUCCUAUUUCAGCAACAAACAUUAAAUAAUUAAUCCAAUAGAGAUGAUAUAUAUGGAAAUUUCAAAACCAAAAAAAGAAACUUUCAAAACCAAAAUUGCGAAGCCAUAGAAAUCGUGGAUCAUGGAAUUGCGAAGACCAAUGUUGACAUAUGGGAAUUUGGUGUCCCAAUGAGCAGAGAUCACUAAGAUUGGUUUUCGGGAGGAACUUUUUGAGUUCAUGAUUUGAAGAAUUGUCUCGCCUAUAAGCUAUCGUCCAUAGUUUGAGAUUCAUGCGACAAGAAGAAGGUUUGAUUCACUUUCUCCAUUUAAUUGAAUCAUCUUCAUAGAUAUAUUUUCAUACUUAAUCAAUGUUUUUACCAAAAAAAUAAUGUUAUUUUAUUAUUUUGGUUUUAUGUGGUUUGGGAUUGGUGUAGAUUAUAAACCGAUUAAACCAAUGUUUUUGUGUUCUGAGAUUUCAAACUUUUGAACUAAAUAAAUAUACGUUUUGGGGAAUAUCCAAUAUCAAUAUGUAUCAUAGUUUGGACUCUAUCUAUUCCAGUAUGAUAAUUCCCGUGGAAAAAUAUAUCAUCGUCUCUAUUUUAUACAUGCACUUGCAACACAAACCAGCCAUAAAGUGGGUCUAUUCUUAUAAUUUAUGACAACAUGGAACACUAUCAUUGGGCCACGAUGCAAGGAGCGAAGGACGAUGCGAGAAGGUGCUUUACUGAUUUGAUGAACGUGGAGGUGAUUCUGAAUGAUACGAGAUCUCUAAGCUGAAUAUAUAAUAGUAUAGUUUUUCGUAAUUUUUUUUUGUUAAAUUUUUUAUCGCUGCUAAAGAUUAAAUGGCGAGUAAAACUAUACUAUUAUACUUUCAAAGAUCACCCGAGAAAAUGAUGACUGCACAUACUUUCAAUAUCCCAUAGAUGACAUAUCUGUUUUAUUUCCAUCAAGCUAUUCAUCGAAACAAAAGCACAUGACGAUUAUGGGAGAGAAACACUACUCUAAAAUCCCGUAAUAAGCUGCACCACCUAAUUUUUUGUGCCUUGACCAAAAAAAAUUCAAUGUUGCAGUUCAACGAACCUUCUUACGGAGGAUCUUUAAACAAAAUUUAUUUGGUACAUAGAGAAAAAUAUUUUAAUAUAUACUAAUUUAAUGCCUCGCGAUCAACGAGUAGAGAAAAAAUAUGUCGCGUGUAUCUUCUUCCAUUGGUCAAUAAAUACCAAUGCAAUGUUUACUACACAAAUCAUUACUUCAGUCUCACUCUCAGGUCAGCUCUCUCCACAUCUCUCUCAUAUGAUUGUACUAUGUAUAAGAUUUGGUAAUAUUUGUAAUUACAAGUAAAAUUCGUAAAUACAGAUAAUAUUCGUAAGAGGUUGAUCAAACGAAAGCAAAAGAGAUGGCCCAAAAGGUUGAAGCACAAGGAGGAAAUGGCGGUAACCAAUGGGAUGAUGGAUCCGAAUACGACGCUGUGACCAAGAUUCAAGUCGCAGCAGGCGGGAACGGAAUUGAAUAUGUUAAGUUCACAUACGUCAAGAACGGACAAACCGAAGAAGCCCCUCUACGCGGUGUCAAGGGCCGUAGUUUCGAAGCAGAUCCGGUUCCUAUACACUAUCCUUGCCUAUCUCUUCAUUUUUAUCUAUAAGGACAUUGACGUGAAUUAAUAUAUAUAUAUAUAUAGGUUAUAUAUUGUCAAGGGUUUGUUUUGAUAAUGUUCUUUUUAAGAAAUUGACAUUUUGAUCUUGAUCUCUACAGUUUGUGAUAAACCAUCCGGAGGAGCACUUAGUUUCUGUAGAAGGUCGGUAUAACCCUGAAGGACUUAUUCUAGGGCUAACGUUCAAAUCCAACAAGAAGACUUCUGAUCUCAUUGGAUAUGAAGAUGGUACACCGUUCACUCUCCAAGUUCAAGACAAGAAGAUCGUUGGAUUUUAUGGCUUCGCUGGAAACAAUCUCCAUUCUCUUGGAGCGUACUUUGCUCCGUUGACUAAUGUAACCCCCUUGAAUGCCAAAAAGCUAGAAGCAAAGGGUGGUGACACGGGAGAUAUAUGGGAUGAUGGUGUUUACGAUAAUGUUAGAAAGGUAUAUGUAGGGCAAGCCCAAUAUGGUAUAGCCUUCGUCAAGUUUGAGUAUGUCAAUGGUUCUCAAGUGGUUGUUGGAGAUGAACAUGGAAAGAAGACAGAGCUAGGAGUUGAAGAGGUACAAAAAUAGAUAAUUCUAUGUUGUGAUUCGUCAAAAGGAUAUAUAUAUAUAUAUAUUUAUAUGGGUAACCUCACUCAAAAUUAUUUGGUUUCUUUGCAGUUUGAGAUUGAUGCGGAUGACUACAUCGUAUACGUGGAAGGAUACCGUGAGAAAGUUAAUGGUAUGACCUCAGAGAUGAUCACUUUUCUUUCAUUCAAGACUUAUAAAGGCAAAACCUCUCAGCCUAUCGAACAAAGACCUGGUAUUAAGUUUGUGCUACAAGGUGGAAAAAUUGUUGGGUUUCACGGACGUUCGACCGACGUUCUAGACUCCCUCGGGGCUUAUAUUUCAUUGUCGCCCACUCCAAACUUGCAUGGAAAGUGGACAAAGGUAGUAAUCUUUUAUAUAUCACCAUGGGAGCUAGUUCACUAAGCAGACUCUAUAUUAUAAAAAAUCCUAACUAACAAGUAUUAUUAAUUAAUUAUAAGGUGGAUGAAAAUGGAGAUGGUCCAGGGCUAAGAUGCUCGCAUGACAUAGCACAGGUAGGAAACAAGAUUUACUCUUUUGGUGGUGAGUUCACACCAAAUCAGCCCAUCGACAAACACCUUUACGUCUUUGACAUCGAGAGCCGGACUUGGUCCAUUUCUCCAGCCACGGGAGACAUUCCAACCCUCUCUUGCCUAGGUGUCUGUAUGGUGUCAAUAGGAUCGACCCUCUAUGUCUUUGGAGGCCGAGACGCUUCACGUCAAUACAACGGUUUCUACUCGUUUGACACGACCACAAACGAGUGGAAACUGCUAACUCCGGUCGAAGAAGGACCCACUCCUCGUAGUUUCCACUCAAUGGCAGCCGAUGAGGAAAACGUUUACGUUUUCGGUGGAGUGAGUGCUACGGCACGACUCAAUACACUAGACUCUUACAACAUCGUUGAUAAGAAGUGGUUUCAUUGUUCGACUCCAGGAGAUUCCCUUACCGCAAGAGGAGGAGCAGGGCUCGAAGUGGUGCAAGGGAAGGUAUGGGUUGUGUAUGGGUUUAACGGAUGUGAAGUAGAUGAUGUUCAUUACUACGAUCCUGUUCAAGACAAGUGGACACAAGUGGAAACAUUCGGUGUGAGGCCUUCCGAAAGAAGUGUAUUCGCUAGUGCGGCUCUUGGGAAACACAUUGUGAUUUUUGGAGGUGAAAUUGCGAUGGACCCGCUAGCUCACGUGGGUCCAGGUCAAUUGACCGAUGGAACUUUUGCAUUGGACACAGAGACGUUGCAAUGGGAGAGGCUGGAUAAGUUUGGUGGAGAGGAAGAGACUCCGAGUAGCAGAGGAUGGACCGCGUCCACAACUGCGACCAUUGGUGGCAAGAAAGGACUUGUGAUGCAUGGUGGUAAAGCUCCAACCAAUGACCGGUUUGAUGAUCUCUUCUUUUACGGAAUUGACUCUGCCUAAUUAAGGCAGAUUUGGUGAUGAACGUUUGUGAUGCAAUAAGGGAAGGGUCUUGAUACCACCAUAUUAUCAUUCGUCAGCUUGUCCAUUUUGUUGAUGUUUUUUUUUUCCUAAACGUUUUCUAUAUGUUUAAUUGUUUUAUGUUUCGUGGUUUAUCCAAUAAAUUGUUUAUUUUCUUAAAAUAAAUCCCCAGAUAAAAAAAUGCGAACUAGAAGGGAGAGUCAUAGCUUAAUAUUAAAUAAAUAACGAUGGAUGUGUUGUAUACGCGUUUACAACUAAUCCCAUGCAGGAUUCAUAUUGUAAUUGUUUAACUAGUCUAGUGGUCAAAGUCAUCUUCCCACAUGGAGAGGUGCAGAGUUCGAAACUUUGAAUCUCCAACCUCCUUUUCAUUGUUCUUCAAUUAAAAAAAAAAAAACAUUUUCAAAUAAUAGGCCGUAAUUGUUUUUUUGCUUCUGACCUUCAAAUAAUUGAGGAGGGCUCUGGUUGUUGCUCCUCUGCUUCUAGCCACUCUCUUUAAACUAUGUGUUGUGUGUUCUCUAAUGAGAAUAACUAUGCUAAUGUGAUUUCUCUUUACAAUGGUGAAUGGUGAUCUUUCUUUUAAUUAUAACUGUGUAUAAAACAUUAUCUCUAUUAAAGAGAAUCACAUAUCCAAGAUGUAUUGAUGCUUCAACUUUCUUUUCAACGUUCACUAUUUAAACCCAUGCAUAAUGCAUUCCUUUGUUCGCACUUCGUAUUUUAAUUGAAAUAUUUAGGUAAGUCAUGCCUGUCUCUUUUCUUUUUUUCUUUUUCUUAUAACCAAGUCCUGCCUUUCUUGGUUUGUCACUUUCUCAUAAUCUUAUCCGUGAGUAUUGAUCUCUCUACGAAAAUUUCAAUUGACCAUCUCAAAGAACUUGUAAAAUGCUCUUCCUUAUUAUCAUCCUUUUUUUCCCUAAAAUUUAGUAUUUGUCUUUAGCAUAUUUUGUUUUAGUUGAAAACGAUUGAUAAAUUAGUGUUACAUCCAAAUGCUGGAAUUUUAUAAUAAAAUAAAGAAGUUAGUAGGGUUCAUGUUAGAUGUGUAAAAUACUUUUUUCACUAAGACAUUAGAUUUCUGUUUCGAUAGAUUAUUAUAAAUUCUUCAGUUUGUUGAUGUCAUUACUAUUGACUCUUUCAGUUAAAAAUGUCACAGAAAGUAGGACCUUUCGGUGGUAACAAAGGAGAUCCAUUCGACGAUAGCGUUUUUGGUUACAACGGUGUGAGGAAAGUGAUUGUUGGGGAAAACGGUAACGGCGUGGAUUGUAUCAAAAUCGAAUACGAGAAAGACGGCAAAUUCGAGACACAAAUGCACGGAAGUGUCACCGGAGUACUAAAAGAGGUUGCAUAACUUUGUCUACAUAUGAUACUGCAUUUCUAAUUAUAUGUGUUGACUAUACCAUUCUCUGUUUUUUGCUCUGUUUCUUCUUUGUUGCAGUUUGUACUUAACUAUAUCACAUCAAUUCAGGCAAGCUAUAGCGAUGUUGCGAGAUACAACACAACUAUCGUGAAGUCUCUUAUCUUCAAGACAUCACACGGGAGAAAAUCUCCCAUGUAUGGUCAGAUAGCGAUUUUUAAAACAGAUUUCGUGGUGGAAGGUAAUUGUGGAGCAAAACUUACCGGGUUCCAUGGAAGGUCUGGUACUGCUCUGUUUGCUAUUGGAGCUCAUUUUCUCGCGCCUUCUUCUCCUGUGAAGCAGUUAGAACCUCAAGGUGGAGACAGAGGAUAUGCUUGGGAUGAUGGUGUUUACGAUGGUGUAAGUAAAAUAUCGGUUACACAAGAUGGUAGCUACCUAAGCUAUGUUAAGUUCAAGUAUGUUAAAGGAAGCACAUCUGUUCGGCAUUCUCACGGAAAGAUGAACCAAGAACCAAAAGAGUUUAAGGUUGAUUAUCCAAAUGAAUUUAUUACAUCAGUGGAAGGAACUUACAUUUUUGUGGUUAUGUAACCUCGCUUACUUUCAAAACAUCAAAGUGUAGAAUCUCUCCUGUAUUUGGAAAAGUGUCUAGUAAGAAAUUCGUCCUUGCGGUGCUUGUCGGAUUCCGUGGACGUAAUAGUGAAAGUGACAAUGCUCUCAGAGCACUUGGAGCAAAUUUUGCGCCAGUUCCAGCUCCAGUUGCACCGGUUCCAGCGCCAGUCCCCACACAAGUUCCGGCUAAGAAACUAGAAGCAAAAGGCGGAGAUGGAGGAGCCAUGUGGGAUGAUGGUUUCUAUGAAGAUGUGAGGAAGGUAUAUGUAGGACAAGGUGACUCCGGUGUGUCUUUUGUUAAGUUUGAGUAUGCUAAUCGCAAGGAGCUUGUAGCUGGAGUUGGCCAUGGGAAGAUGUCAAUUCUUGGAACAGAGGAGGUUUUUGUGCUCUGUUCUCGUAUUGACCUAAUAAUGUUUUCUUGAGAUCCAAGUUUCACUGGUCUUUGUAUUUUGUGGCAGUUUGUGCUCGAUUCUCCAAAUGAAUACAUUGUAUCGGUGGAGGGAAGUUACGAUAAAUUAUUUGGAGUGGAAGGCGAGUUGGUGACGAUGCUUAGGUUCAAGACAAACAAGCGUACCUCUCCACCGUUUGGGCUCGAUGCAGGCACAACGUUUGCGUUGGAGAUGAAAGAUCAUAAGAUCGUUGGAUUCCAUGGCAAAGCUGGAGAUUUUGUUCAUCAAGUUGGUAUCCACGUCACCCAAAUCACCAAGUCUUAAAGCUUUGUGAGCUUUCUCUUCUAUUCCUAGAAUAAAAUUAAAAAGCCAUGUCUGUUUGUUACUCCUCAGCUUCUAGUUACUCUCUUUUAACUAUGUCUUGCUUCGUUUGUUUGUUAUGUGUUAUGAAGUGGUCUGCUUCUUUGAAUAAAGCAUCGUUUUGUUGGAAUGUGAUAAACUGAUAAUUGUGUUAUGCUAUACUUGGAUGCAUGAGGAUAAAUGAAAACUAACUAUUCAACUAAACCCUAAAACCUAUACGAUCAAAAUUAUAGUAAAUAGUAACACUUAAUGAGACUUUAAAGUUGAGAUGUGUAACUAGUCACCACUCACUCAUGUUAGUGAUUCAUGUGUGUGUCAGUGUGUGUGUGUGUGUUUUUAUCAAGGUCUUCUCUUAAGAUUCAUAAGUGUGAAUCUGGUGGGACUUAAUUGGUCUGGUGGAGUAGAACCUAUGCGGGCAAUGAGGAAGGUUAAGGUAGGCUAACCGAGCCCACUCUCUAAGUGUUUAAUUUGUAACCUUAAUUCGUAAAUAAAAGCUGUUUAAUUUGUAACCUUUAUUAGAUAAAAUUUUGUCUUUUUUUUUGUCAAAAGAUAAAAUGUUGUCAAUCAUUUUAAAAACAAAGAAAAAAACUUUUUUGGCAAGAAUUUAUAUAUUUGCUUGUCAUAAAUUUUCCAUUUUGUAGUAUUUUGAAAAAAAUAUUUUAACGAAUGGAAGCAAUAACUCGACAAAAAGAGUCAAACUAAAGUACCUUCACAUGCAAAACAAAACGUAAAUUUGGUAUUUUUUUCCCAUUAAAAAAAAUAUAUAUAUAUUCUUGGCCUUGUGUGCGAAGACGAUCGAGAACGAGAAGAACGAUAAGCUCAAUACGCACGAACGUAGAUCGAAGACUGGAAAGGUAUAUCUUCAUCAAAAUAUUCAUGAUUAUGGUUGAGUUUAAUUUUGUUUACGUAUUUGUUUUAAUUUUUCAAAAGUCCACUGUUGGCUGGCUGUUGCUAUCUUGGAAUGAUUUUCAUAUCUCAAUAACUAUUGUUUACUCUAAGUUAAAUUAUUGGGGUGCUAUUUAUGAUGACUGAUGAAGUGAUGGGAACAUGAUUGCAAUAUUAAAAUCUCUUUUUUAUUUAUAUUAAUUAUAAGUUUGUACCCACUUCAUUUUAAAUAGAUAAUGCCAAGACGUAGGUAUAUUAUUACUGAAUUUAUUUUUUAAUAAUAAGUAAAUAUGCAGGUUUCAACUAGAAAGGUAACACAUCAACAAGAAAUACCAAAAACCACUAGCUUACAUAUUUUGAUCAUAUAAGUAUUGAAUAAUAUAGUUAUAGAUGAUCAAAUAGUUAUUAUUAAUUACUUAGCUAGUGUAAUUUCUAUCGAUUGUUUCACAUUCGCAACAGAUAAUUAUAUAAAUAAAUACAUACUACAUGUUAACCUUUGUUUUUGUUAAAUAGGAUGUUUUCUUGAUUGAUGAUCUAGAUCAACUUUUAAUAAUUUAUACGUACCAGCUUUCAUUCGAUCGUGCGACUUCUUGGAAUAUCCCAUGGUACAUUUGCAGUCGAGCUAGAAAGCUUUUUUGAUAAUUUAUGAAUCAUAUUAAGCGUCUCUCAAUUAGAUUAAUAUUUAGUACCAGUGUAAAUGAUACAAUUAUAAAUCUUUUUACCAACGAAUACAGAAUUUGUUUUAGAAAUAUUCUUCGCAAAAUUUUAUAAUAUUUCAUAAAUCAGUUAUAAAAAAAAAAAAAGCAGUUUUGAAUUCAGAGGAAUUCGUAAAUUUCCCUAAGAGUUAUUAAAACUAGUUGUGAUAUUUUGGAGUAUUCUUUAUGGCUAGAUCCAUAUGAUCCGGUUCUUGUAUCUAGAUUUUUUUUACGGAAUAUUGUAUGAUAUAUCUAGUCUCCUCUUUGGUUCUAAACUUCUAAUUAAUCUUCGGUGAUUUGAAUUAAACGUUACUGUUUUUAAAUUAUGAUUAAGGCUUUAAAACAUGUUCAUACAAUAAUUACCAAAUCUUAACCAAUUAGACUCUUAAUAAGGAGAACGUAUAUAUAUGUUGCAACUUGCAACUUUAGCCCUUUACAAAUAAUUAAUCGUACAUAAUCUAAUUGAUAAACGAUUCUUUAAAUUUUAAAACAAUGAAUUAGCUUGCUGCCAUCGUUUAAUGGGCCAACGCCAAUAUAAAGACGAUUAGUUGAGAAGUUGUGCAAGUAGAAGUAUAUGAAUAUUUUCAUUAUCUAAAAAAAAAAAUGUAUAUGAACAUGCGUUUUUCCCAGUAAUGCUUUUUAUAUAAAUAUGCCUCGUGGAUCACGAAAGAAUAAAUUAUUAUUUCCCUUAUUAUUUCAUCUAGUACGAUCAAUAUCAAGAAGUCAAUAUAAAUAAACAUACAAUUCACUUUAAUUGAUCAUAGCACCGAUAACAAUCUACUCUCUUUAAAAGGUCUUAUCUCUAUUCUUCUCUAUUAUGUAAAAAUUGGUUAAUAGUAGAUAUUAACAAUUUAUUUUUGCAACUACAGAAAUUCGUAAGUACUAUCAAGAAGCAGAAGAUGGCCCAAAAGGUGGAAGCACAAGGAGGGAAAGGAGCCAACCUAUGGGACGAUGGAUCGACACAUGACGCCGUGACCAAGAUUCAGCUCGCAGCAGGCAUAGACGGAAUUCAAUAUGUUCAGUUUGAUUAUGUCAAGAACGGACAACCCGAACAAGCUCCUCUUCGUGGUACCAAAGGCC
rnacentral:lncRNA from 1 species